rnacentral:sRNA from 1 species
UUAUGCAAAAUGUUGCACGAAGUGCCUC